rnacentral:tRNA from 2 species
CCCGGGUUAGCUCAGUUGGUAGAGCGCUUCACUGGAAAUGGGGAGGUCCCGGGUUCAAUACCCGGACCAGGCG